rnacentral:rRNA from 1 species
UACGAAGGGAGCUAGCGUUGUUCGGAAUUACUGGGCGUAAAGGGCGCGUAGGCGGUUUUGUACGUCUGAUGUGAAAGACCUGGGCUUAACCUGGGAAGUGCAUUGGAUACGGCAAGACUGGAGUGCGAGAGGGGAUUGUGGAAUUGUGCGUGUAGAGGUGAAAUUCGUAGAGAUGCACAAGAACAUCGGAGGCGAAGGCGACAAUCUGGCUCGUAACUGACGCUAAGGCGCGAAAGCGUGGGGAGCAAACAGG